GAGGAAUGGAUGCUAAUGAAUGUAAAAUACUGCCUCAAAGUUGCCACAUGUACAUAAUUACCUCAAUAGGCAAUCCACUGUAACUCAGCAGUUGAUUAAAGGCAAGCAGAAAAUCCCAGCUACAAGAACAAACAGCUCUUUCAAAUCAACUUCCAGGUUCGCCGAUGAUGUCGAGAGAACUGCGACCGAGGCACAGAGGGGAGUACAACAGGGUCUUCAACGAGCAGGAGGACACUGAGAAGUUGGUGGUUGUGAUCUGUCGGGGUGGACUAGGCCAUAGCAUGCUUUGAUCAGGAUGGAAGGUGACCUACGCCGUCCGACACCCAUGCAGCACAGAAGCAACCGUUCAGCUCUCUGAGAGAUCACCCUCCAAUUUCCAGGAACAACUUUCAAAUUGCUACCGGAAACCUGACUGAGUCCAAGAAGGCCACUGGAAAGAUCAGGAGUCAGAGCUAGAGUUGGACUAGAACCUCGUGGCCCUCACUGAUCUGGACUGAAGCUCCACACAGGAUGGUUUCUUAAGUUAUCACAUCUUGCUCUGGGAAAUGAAUUUCUCUACAAUUAAUUUCUCAAAACCUAGUAUGUUCUCCUUGUCUAAUAACAAUGCUGUGAAUUAAAUGCUUUGCUCCAUUUAAUACAUCUUCAUUGAC